CAGCAAAGCUGGCGACCGGUCGCACGUUCUUGGCAACCGGUCGCAUUUCAAUCUGCUUGAAAUCGACUGGUCACUCCUACCUAGCGACCGGUUGCUUCCUCCAUUUUCUAGCUUCUUCAACGCUGCUUCAAAACAACCAGUCGCUCCUACCUUGCAACUGGUCGCCUCCUGCGACACCUGCAUCCUUAAUGUGAGCCAAUUUCCAACAGAGGUUGCUUUGGUAUAUGUGAUUGUUUCAAGCCUUUACAAAGGUUAGUGUUGGUGUAAUAUCGCCUUACAAUGCUCAAGUUAAUGCAACUCAAUUGAGAGUCAGAAACUACAGUGAAGUUUCUGGCACAGAUUUCUCUGUACGUGUGCAAUCUGUUGAUGGAUUCCAAGAUGGUGAAGAGGAUGUUAUAAUUAUCUCCACUGUCAGAUGUAAAUGGAAUGGAUCUGUAGGUUUCUCUCCGAUUGUCAACGAGCAAAUGUGGUGCUAACUCGUGCGAGGUAUUGCCUUUGGCGAAGCCACAUUGACAAACAGUAACUCAAUUUGGAAGAAGCUAAUUCUUGAUGCGAAGAAACGUGAUUGUUUCUAUAAUGCUGACGAUGACAAGAACUUGGCUCAGGCUCUUGCAGCAGCACGUCUAGAGCUUAACCAAACAGUAUGUGCAGCAGCAGGAGCAGAGCAAUUUACCUGAUGUAGAAGAAGCAUGUUUCUGUUGGUCUUUAAUUUCUUUAUGCAGCAAUUCAGUGAAACAAUUAUCGAAAUAUAUGAACCAUUUUUUAUUACUUGAUAGCUUCCGUUGGUGUUUUUUUUUUGGGUUGAAAGUUCUUUCUAUUCUUGAUUGUGGUUGUUCUUCAUUCAUGGAUCCUCUUUUAUUCUUGUGAAGUCCUAUUUUUCUUCCUGUGAGACCC